AUGUGUGCACUUUUUGCCUGAAGCUGUUUUUCAAGAAGAGCAACUUUGAUGCUCAUGUACAGAUACAUACUGGUGAAAAACCUUUCAUAUGCAGCAUCUGUCACAAAGGAUUUACACAAAGCAACAAUCUGAAAAGACACAGUAUACUUCACAUGGCUGGUUACUUGAAGACCAACAACUGAUAAGUUCACAUGGCUGGUUACUUGAAGACCAACAACUGAUAAGUUCACAUGGCUGGUUACUUGAUGACCAACAACUGAUUAGUUCACAUGGCUGGUUACUUGAAGACCAACAACUGAUUAGUUCACAUGGCUGGUUACUUGAAGACUAACAACUGAUUAGUUCACAUGGCUGGUUACUUUAAGACCAACAACUGAUUAGUUCACAUUAUCGGUUAUGUUAUGCACCCCACAUCAGUAAUAAAUUGUAUGAAAAAUAAAAUAAUGUAGUCCCUCGAAACUGUGGCUGGAUUAAUUGUGAAAUGAGACACAAAGUUUAGACAGACUAGAUUUUUUACAUUUUUUUUUAAUGCAAAAGUCUGAACCAGUUUAUUGCCAAAUCAUAUUUGUUGACAUCAUUUGAACAAUUGUAUUUAUUGCAGACAAUUGUGCAAUUUGUAUUGAACAAAAUGAACAUCUAGAAUGGAGAAUGGAAAUAUUUCAAUAAAAUAUAAGACUGAUGCCAUCAUUUAAUUGCAUGUUUUCCAUUUCAAAACAGCUGUUUGGGCAUGAAUUAUAUUAAUCAAUGACAAUGAAUUUGUUGUUCACUUCUUUAAAUGAAAUCUAUGAAAUAUUAUUGUUAGGAUUGCCAUGGUGUAGUGGACAUGGUGUAAGCCAAGCAAUUGGGAGUUAAUGGUUGGAUCCCCACUUUGGAAGUGGUUUUUAAAGCUUUAAAUCUCCCCCAUAAAAACUAAGUACUGGUUAUACAAAGGAAACAGACUUGAGAGCACUUCAUAAAGCCUAAUUCUUUAAAUGCAAUCAAGCUAAAAUAAAUAGAUUAAAACUAA